UACGUAGGGGGCAAGCGUUGUCCGGAAUCAUUGGGCGUAAAGCGCGUGUAGGCGGUCCGGUAAGUCCGCUGUGAAAGUCGGGGGCUUUACCCUCGGAUGCCGGUGGAUACUGUCGGGCUUGAGUACGGAAGAGGCGAGUGGAAUUCCUGGUGUAGCGGUGAAAUGCGCAGAUAUCAGGAGGAACACCAAUUGCGAAGGCAGCUCGCUGGGACGUUACUGACGCUGAGACGCGAAAGCGUGGGGAGCAAACAGG
rnacentral:rRNA from 1 species